AUAAAACACACAUGCUAAACGUAUAACACUUAAAUCUUCAAUUUAACAGAUGUAAUUGAGCUUUGGUUUAAAGGCUUUUUAAUGCCAUAUCUGAUUAAAGUAUGGUAUCAAUUGCAUGUAAUACUCCAUUUGUCGCUGGAAUAUUGGGUGUCACAAUUUGUCCUUCGUUUACUCGGAUUCGGCCUAUGAUGUAUAAAUAAUGAGAUUAAAAGAGUAAAAUGCGGUUGAAGUGUAUCCUUUUGAUGGUAAUACCUCAUUCCAGCUGAAAAUAAAGUAGUAGGCAUUAUGUGCCUCGCUACAAUUGUUUUGGCUACUUCUUGACCAUCAGCUUCUAUCCAUACUGGUCGC